rnacentral:rRNA from 1 species
AAGACCUUGCGCUUUUGGAGCGGCCGAUGCCUGAUUAGCUAGUUGGUGGGGUAAUGGCCUACCAAAGCUUCGAUCAGUAGCUGGUCUGAGAGGACGGCCAGCCACACUGGGACUGAGACACGGCCCAGACUCCUACGGGAGGCAGCAGUGGGGAAUUUUGGACAAUGGGGGCAACCCUGAUCCAGCCAUGCCGCGUGAGUGAAGAAGGCCUUCGGGUUGUAAAGCUCUUUCAGCCGGAACGAAACGGUUACGGUUAAUACCCGUGACUACUGACGGUACCGGAAGAAGAAGCACCGGCUAACUACGUGCCAGCAGCCGCGGUAAUACGUAGGGUGCAAGCGUUAAUCGGAAUUACUGGGCGUAAAGCGUGCGCAGGUGGUUUUGUAAGUCAGAUGUGAAAUCCCCGGGCUUAACCUGGGAACU